AAUGAACGCUGGCGGCAGGCCUAACACAUGCAAGUCGAACGGAUCCUUCGGGAUUAGUGGCGGACGGGUGAGUAACGCGUGGGAACAUACCCUUUGGUACGGAAUAGCCUCGGGAAACUGGGAGUAAUACCGUAUGUGCUCUUCGGAGGAAAGAUUUAUCGCCAAAGGAUUGGCCCGCGUUGGAUUAGGUAGUUGGUGGGGUAAUGGCCUACCAAGCCGACGAUCCAUAGCUGGUUUGAGAGGAUGAUCAGCCACACUGGGACUGAGACACGGCCCAGACUCCUACGGGAGGCAGCAGUGGGGAAUCUUAGACAAUGGGGGAAACCCUGAUCUAGCCAUGCCGCGUGAUCGAUGAAGGCCUUAGGGUUGUAAAGGAUCUUUCAGUGGGGAAGAUAAUGACGGUACCCACAGAAGAAGCCCCGGCUAACCUCCGUGCCAGCAGCCGCGGUAAU
rnacentral:rRNA from 1 species